AUUGAACGCUGGCGGCAGGCCUAACACAUGCAAGUCGAGCGUGCGGUGGAAGGGAGAGUAAUGUAUGGGGACUGCCCGAUAGAGGGGGAUCACUACUGGACACGGAUGCUACUACCGCAUUAUAGAGGAUAACCUGUUUGGGAUUAGCUAGUAGGUGGGGGAAAGGCUCACCUAGGUGACGAUCUCUAGCGGGUCUGAGAGGAUGAUAAGCCCCACUGGAACUGGGACACGGCCCAGACUCCUACGGAGGCAGCAGUGGGGAAUAUUGCACAAUGGGCGCAAGCCUGAUGCAGCCAUGCCGCGUGUAUGAAGAAGGCCUUAGGGUUGUAAAGUACUUUCAGUAGGGAGGAGUUACCUACAGGAGAAGCACCGGCUAACUACGUGCCAGCAGCCGCGGUAAUAC
rnacentral:rRNA from 1 species